rnacentral:rRNA from 1 species
AGUGAACGCUGGCGGUAGGCCUAACACAUGCAAGUCGGACGGCAGCACAGUAAGAGCUUGCUCUUACGGGUGGCGAGUGGCGGACGGGUGAGGAAUACAUCGGAAUCUACUUUUUCGUGGGGGAUAACGUAGGGAAACUUACGCUAAUACCGCAUACGACCUACGGGUGAAAGCAGGGGAUCUUCGGACCUUGCGCGAUUGAAUGAGCCGAUGUCGGAUUAGCUAGUUGGCGGGGUAAAGGCCCACCAAGGCGACGAUCCGUAGCUGGUCUGAGAGGAUGAUCAGCCACACUGGAACUGAGACACGGUCCAGACUCCUACGGGAGGCAGCAGUGGGGAAUAUUGGACAAUGGGCGCAGGCCUGAUCCAGCCAUACCGCGUGGGUGAAGAAGGCCUUCGGGUUGUAAAGCCCUUUUGUUGGGAAAGAAAAGCAGCAGGUUAAUACCCCGCUGUUCUGACGGUACCCAAAGAAUAAGCACCGGCUAACUUCGUG